UACGUAGGCAGCAAGCGUUGUUCGGAAUUACUGGGCGUAAAGAGUGUGUGGGCGGUGUCGUAAGUUUGGCGUGAAAUCUCCCGGCUUAACUGGGAGGGUGCGCCGAAGACUGCGAUGCUUGAGGAUUGGAGAGGAAAGUGGAAUUUCUGGUGUAGCGGUGAAAUGCGUAGAUAUCAGAAGGAACACCUGUGGUGUAGACGGCUUUCUGGACAAUUCCUGACGCUGAGACACGAAAGCGUGGGUAGCAAACAGG
rnacentral:rRNA from 1 species